UUCAAAACUCCAAGACCCAUCUCCGUUGAAGUAUGUAAAAUUUGGAAUAAAUGUAUGAUUGAGUGUGUUUUCCAGCUACGUCCUUUGGUGCUUUAAGAGUUGACAAAAAUUAAAACAAUGUAAAAAUGUAAGAUAAAAGGAUGAAAGAAAACGAAAAAGGGAACAGAGAAUAGGGGAAUUGGGGACGAAGAAUACUGGGAGGGAAAGGAAAAGAGAUAGGUUCCUGGU
rnacentral:lncRNA from 1 species